ensembl:lncRNA novel transcript
CAUCCGAGGCCCAGGUCCCAAAGGGGCGUGGGAGGAGAUGGUGGGAGAGACAGCUAGGCCCCAUGCUGGACACCUGAGAGGGAGACCCUGGCUUUGUGUUGAGAGUUAGAUGGCGCUGGUACCUUUUCCCUCCAUGACCUUUAAAGCUUAGACUGAUGGCCUCACAGAUAUUUUUCUUCGGGGACAAAGGAUGAGGAUUUUCCAUCCCGAACAACAUGAAGCAAAUGCGCAUGGAUCUCCUGAUUUUUCAUUCAGACAGUGAUUACAGAGUAAACAGCACUGGGUCAGAUCAGCGUGCACGGUCAAUGUGGCCUGCAUAUGGUGACUAUCCCUCCCUGCACCGUGUGGCAGCCACAUUGUCCUGACCCACUGGGAAGCUUGUCACUUCCAGAGCGGCCCAGGAGAUGCAUGUCGACCAUCCCCACUUCAGGCUCCCACGUGGCAGGCUGCAGACCCCUGGCCAGGCUUUUUUUCUGAAACCUUUAGUGGAUUUUCCUUGAGGAUGACCGACAGAAUGAUGGUGAUGUAUUCUAGUCUCAUGGUCAGGCCUGCAAUCACAUUUCGAAGCAGCCUCCAGAUCCCUGCUCAGCAUUCUGUGACUGACGCGGGUGGAGGCAUUACAGUCCAGACAGAGUCAGUGCUAAUCAGAACAGGAUGCCCUUUAGCUUCCUCGGGAAAGCUUUAUCUCUUUAGCAGGAGCUAUCUGCAUUUUUAAAGCCACAGCCUGUUGGAAAGAGCUCCGAACCACAAAAAUGUACAGCAGGGGUAAGCAGAGUUCCUAGCCAUUAACCACCUCCAGGCAGUUAAUCAUUUCAGUUUAGAAGAACCCACGUUCGCUUCAAGAGCAAGUAUAUUCUGUUGGAAACCUACUAUGUUGGGCUCUUUCGAAAGCUAGUUCUGAUUCUCACAAUGCCCUGCUGAGCGGACGGGAGUCCCCCGUUGUAUGGACAAGCAGAUGAAGCUCAAUGAAUUAGUUGACUGCUCUAAGGUCUCAUGGUUGAUCUUGGGCACAGCUGGGGUUCGAAGCCCGUUCUUUCUGGCUCAGAGUCCUGUGCUCUUCUCAGCAGGAUGUGACGCUACCUCCCCCACUGCCAUUUUUCUGUGUGAUUAUAUGGGACCCAAGCUCCAGGUAAAUCUGAUUGUUAAGAAAAAGCCCCAAUAUACACAGAGGCACAAGAAAAAGGAAUAGAUCUCACCCUGUUGGUGAAGCCAAUGCGUGAACCUAAUGUGCAGAAAGACACCACUGACGUCUUCCCGGGCCCCUGCCUCGCAUCCUUGCCUUGCUGACUAUUUGGCCCUGGCCUAGAAAAUACAGUGCUCAUUCUCAGACGUGUAUGUGCAAGUGUUUGUCUCUCCAGCCAAGCUGUCCUCAGGUCCUUAGCCGUCUGCGUGUUCCCCAGCUCUCUACAAACAGCUAUCCUGGAAUAGCUAAAACUGAGAUUUUAAUAAUGUGUGCUUAAAGCAUUUAUGCUAAAAAAAACUUGCCAGUUCUGGCCAUUUCCAGUAACAAUAUGUGCUCUCAUCACUGCUAAGAGUCUGGCAAUGAGCAGAUGAUGCUACUGAAAGCAAGUGAAGACAGUGAGACAGGGCUCAAUCCAUGCCAUGCCUCUGAGAGCCUAGGAGUCAUGGCACAGCGCCAAGAAUACCCCUUCAACAUGACAAGCAGGACUCAGUUUCCCCCUUUUGAGCAUAUCAAGGAAAAACAUAUGUAAGGGCCUGCGCAGUGACUCACGACUGCAAUCCCAGCACUUUGGGAGGCCGAGGCGGAAGGAUUGCUUGAGGCCAGGGUUUGAGACCAGCC